AUACGGAGGAUCCGAGCGUUAUCCGGAUUUAUUGGGUUUAAAGGGUGCGCAGGCGGAAGAUUAAGUCGGCGGUGAAAUUUUGCAGCUCAACUGUAAAAGUGCCAUCGAUACUGGUUUUCUUGAGUGUGGAUGAAGUAGGCGGAAUUUGUGGUGUAGCGGUGAAAUGCAUAGAUAUCACGAGGAACUCCGAUUGCGCAGGCAGCUUACUAGGCCAUAACUGACGCUCAGGCACGAAGGCGUGGGGAUCAAACAGGAUUAGAUACCCUGGUAGUCCACGCAGUAAACGAUGAUUACUCGCUGUUUGCGAUACACAGUAAGCGGCUUAGCGAAAGCGUUAAGUAAUCCACCUGGGGAGUACGUUCGCAAGAAUGAAACUCAAAUGAAUUGGCGGGG
rnacentral:rRNA from 1 species